rnacentral:rRNA from 1 species
GACGAACGCUGGCGGCGUGCCUAAUACAUGCAAGUCGAGCGCAGGAAAUCGACGGAACCCUUCGGGGGGAAGUCGAUGGAAUGAGCGGCGGACGGGUAAGUAACACGUAAAGAACCUGCCCUCAGGUCUGGGAUAACCACGAGAAAUCGGGGCUAAUACCGGAUGGGUCAUCGGACCGCAUGGUCCGAGGAUGAAAGGCGCUUCGGCGUCGCCGGGGGAUGGCUUUGCGGUGCAUUAGCCAGGUGGUGGGGUAAUGGCCCACCAAGGCGACGAUGCAUAGCCGACCUGAGAGGGUGAUCGGCCACACUGGGACUGAGACACGGCCCAGACUCCUACGGGAGGCAGCAGUAGGGAAUCUUCCACAAUGGACGAAAGUCUGAUGGAGCAACGCCGCGUGAACGAUGAAGGCCUUCGGGUCGUAAAGUUCUGUUGUAAGGGAAGAACAAGUGCCGCAGGCAAUGGCGGCACCUUGACGGUACCUUGCGAGAAAGCCACGGCUAACUACGUGCCAGCAGCCGCGGUAA